UGUUCACAUCUUCGGGAGGGUGUCAUAGGAAAAUUGAAGGCUGAAAUAUUUUAUAAAACUGAAUUUCCCACAACGGAGAGAGAAUUUCACAGGGUCCCGACUCUCUCUCUCUCUCUCUCUCCCUCUCCCCUUCCUUUCGAGCAGGUUUUUAACCAAGAAGUUGAUGCAACUAUUGCAUUAGCUGUACUAAAACCAGAGCCCUACACUGGCGACACACAAAAAGUAGUGGAGGGAGAGGUUACUGUUUCGUUAGUAAAAUUUUCACAUAGCUGGACAUUAGGUAUUUGGUUCUUUAGUGUGAGACUUCAGUUUUUAACAUAUGCUGUAUAUUGUUUUUAUUUGGUUCAACUUUAUAUUGUUUAGCUUACUUUUGUUUUCUCAAUUGUUAACAACAGAGAAUGAGGGUUAUUGUGGCUAAUGUUGAAUUUAUGUUUCCACCUAGAAGAAACGUAUUAUGUGACUCGAGUACGUGCAUUUCACCACUUAGGCAGAAUAUCUAUCUGGCAGUCUGUUGAAUUUUCAAGUAUUGGAUGUUUCUUUGGUAUAUUUUCAAGUGUCUAGCCUUGCUUUUGGGUCAUAUCCUUUAAUGAAUCCCAUUGAUUCCGACCUCUCCCUCUUUUCUCCUUCCUCAAAUCCUUUUCUUUUAUUAGAUCGAAAAAAUGAAUUGUGACUUAUUGACUCUUUUGGCAGAAACUGAGUAGGUUUUCAUUUUCUAAAUGGCUCUAUCUCAAGUUUCAGUUGCAGGAUCUCAGUUAGUUCAUUUUUUACUUCAAUACUUAAUACAACUUAGUAUUAAAUCCUAGGUGUUGACCUCUUUUAUAAUCAGUCAGUUGUUUUUUCUUUCAUUUUCAUGUUAUUUAGGACCUAUUUAACUGGGUUAUGUUAACUUUGGGAACUAUUUGCAAUUUAUUUGUUGGGUGUGAUGGCAAAUCUUCUUGAACUAACCUUUAUGCUACUAUGUGCUUCUUUAGUUCAAUAGACCUUUGUUUGAUAGGAAUUAAAAUCUAAAUUUUAAUCUAAGUCAAACUCAAUAAUUAAUUUUAACCGCAUAUUUAUGAACAAAUUUUCAACCACACAUUUCAUCAACAUUUUAUCAAAAUCUACUAAGAAUUUAAUUUUAAUUCCCACCAACCAGGAGCUAGGUAAUGUUUCCUUGAAGGUAGUUGGGGGUAACAAAGCCCUCAAAAAGAGUUGCUUUCUUUUUAUGUAUCUGCUAAGGAUGCUAUUCUAACAGCUGAAUAAAAGCAGGAUAAUUUUGUGAGCUGGUACUUAAUGUUUAAACAAGGGGAUGUUGUAAACUACUUAUACUAAAGUGCGGAAUUGAUUACUGAGUCAUGGAACAGUUUUAUUUUCUUGGAGUCUCUGUAUACUGAGGAUUUCCUUUUCUAAUGCAAUUUUGAUUCUUAAUGCAUUGUAAGAACCUCUAGGCCAUAGUCAAGGGACGGACUAUCCAAUUCAUGGCCUUCUGCAUGAACUUCAACAUGUGUCAAUAUAUCUAGGGGUCUCAAGAACAAGACUUCAACAUGGUUGAUCACCGUAAAAGCUCUAUCCUGAAGUUAACGUGAGAAUUACUAAUACGGACCUUGCAACACAGUUAGACUGUCAUUUAUUUGGAUUCCAUCCAGAGUUUUGUCAGCAUUACUUCUCUGGGUUUGAUGUUUUGUGUUUUGUUGGGGAGGAUGCUUUGCCUCCUCCAUCUGCUUUCUUCGGAAUAAUGUGCCCUUUGGUAUUGUCCCAGACAUGCACAAGGAUCAGAAUGGUGCCAAAAGUUUACCAACUACUGCAGUAAUUAUCAUUCUGCACUGGAACUUACUGAAUGGUACUUUGGUAUGUCUCCAGUUGUAUGACCUGGUGGAAUUGGAUUAAAAGAUAUCUUUUUUGCUUCUCGUAGUGCUAAAGCACAAGGAAAAGACGUCGGUGUCCUGGAUGCCGCUACAUAUCUCUAUUUUCAACUAUGAUGAUUGAUUUGAUAUCUGUGUUUACCAGAUCUCUUUGAGCUUAUGUUGUUGGAAGGUGAAAUAAUCCUGGAAUGUCUGUUUUUUGAUAAGCCUCGUAGAGCACGUGAGAGUGGUAACCCGGAUUAUUACGGUGGGGGAUGGCAAUUGGCAUGCGUCAAGGAAGCAAGUGAUGAAUGGAUAUGGAGGGUUGAAGAGAUCCUACUAUAGAGAGCCAGAACUCAUGGAGAACUUCAGGUGGCACCUCUAUGAAUCUGGAAUUGAAUAUUAUACUUUUGCAUUUGCUAGACUCGAAGUUAAGCGUGUCAAUGGAAAGAAGAGUCGUAAAGGGAAAUUAAGUAAGGAUUCAGUUACUAAUCUGCAAAUGCAAAUGGGAAAACUGGCGGCUGAAUUUCCAUCCCACAAGAAAAGCACUGGUAAGGGAAGGGUAAUGUCCAAUCUGAAGGAAGAAAAUGGUAAGAUUUAUUUAGCUGCUAAUGCAAAAAUGCCUACUGUUGAGGGUUUCGAUUCUUAUAUUCUCAACAGUUUGAAUGGGAGCUAUUUGACAUGAGCAUGCGUCUGGAAAUAAGAUACAUUGUGAAGCGCAUAUCAUUCUGUCUGUUAUUUGCCCAUUUCACUUGGCCCUCUGGCAACUGGCAAGUAGUUUAGUUGAAGUUUUUUUGUGCUUUCUGUCAGGAGGAUCGAGCUCCUUAUCGACCCCCCGGAUCCUGAGGGAAUUUUGUGAAUAGUUCAUGGUCAUUUCAGUGUAGUGCGCCUCCGACUUGACUUGAUCAUUUUUGAACAGCUAGGGGGUCAAGAAUGUUGAGCUAUUCUUUCAGAGUCCGAGACUGUGAAAGCUAUGGGAAAUGCACUUUUUUCUGCUACUUUUGUGGGGAGAAUUAGUCGAAGCCUGACAAUGAAGACCCUAUUCAGGGGUGGGCCCGGAUUUUUUUGUGUUGUGAGGACAAAAUUUAAAAUAUAUUUUUUUAAAAAAAUAAUAUAAUUUUAAUGAAAAUAAUUAUAUCAUUGUAAUCGGGAGAGAAGGAAAAAUAAUUUUGAGAGAAGGACAAAUAAUUUUCUCAUUCUUCUCA